rnacentral:rRNA from 1 species
CCUACGGGAGGCAGCAGUGGGGAAUUUUUCGCAAUGGGGGCAACCCUGACGAAGCAAUGCCGCGUGGAUGAAGAAGGCCUUCGGGUUGUAAAGUCCUUUCGUGGGGGACGAAAAGGCGGAUCCGAAUACGGUCUGCUAUUGACGUGAACCCAAGAAGAAGCACCGGCUAACUCCGUGCCAGCAGCCGCGGUAAUACGGAGGGUGCGAGCGUUAAUCGGAAUUACUGGGCGUAAAGGGCGCGUAGGCGGUGGGUUACGUCUGCCGUGAAAUCCCCGGGCUCAACCUGGGAAUGGCGGUGGAAACGGGCUGACUGGAGUAUGGGAGAGGGUGAUGGAAUUCCAGGUGUAGCGGUGAAAUGCGUAGAGAUCUGGAGGAACACCAGUGGCGAAGGCGGUCACCUGGCCCAAUACUGACGCUGAGGCGCGAAAGCGUGGGGAGCAAACAGGAUUAGAUACCCUGGUAGUCACGCCCUAAACGAUGGAUACCGGAUGUUUGGCGCCUUAAGUGCUGAGUGUCGUAGCUAACGCGAUAAGUAUCCCGCCUGGGAAGUACGGCCGCAAGGUUUAAACUCAAAGGAAUUGACGG